rnacentral:rRNA from 1 species
UACAGAGGGUGCGAGCGUUGUUCGGAAUUAUUGGGCGUAAAGGGCGCGUAGGCGGGCGCCACAAGUCACUUGUGAAAACUCUGGGCUCAACUCAGAGCCUGCAAGCGAAACUGUGGUGCUGGAGUAUGGGAGAGGUGCGUGGAAUUUCCCGGUGUAGCGGUGAAAUGCGUAGAUAUCGGGAGGAACACCUGUGGCGAAAGCGGCGCACUGGACCAUAACUGACGCUGAGGCGCGAAAGCUAGGGAGCAAACGGG